AUGGCUUAUAUGCUUUGUAGUUUCAAUGAUGAGACAUAUAUGUCAACUAUGGGUGUUGGCUCCAACAAUUCUCAUUGGUCUCAAACCAAUGAUGUGCAUUUCGAUGAUCAUGAGUUUGAGGUGGACGAGGAUGGUGAGGGUAUCGUCGAUGCACCGAAAGGAAGAGCGGGCAACUACACCAUGGACGAAGACAUCUUGCUAUGCAAUACAAGGUUGCAAGUGUCGAGGGAUGCCACCGUUGGAGGGGGUCAAAGUAGAAAUGCAUAUUGGAUCCGGAUGAAGGAGCACUUUGAUUUACACAACAAAAGUGGCAUUGAUCGCUCGAAAAGAUCUCUUCGCUCCCGGUGGUCGACAAUCAACCGAGAUUGUCAAAGGUGGGCGGCCGCAGUUAAGGCGGUUGGCAUCUUGAACCCAAGUGGCACUAAUGAUAGAGAUAUGCUCACUAUUGCACAAAACUUAUUUAAAGGAGAGGAGAAGAAGACCAAAAAAGGGAAGAUCAAGAAAGGGAGACCAUUUACCUUGCCUCAUUGCUAUGAUGCGUUGAAGGAUGAUGAGAAAUGGAAGCCCCGUGAUGGUGUCGAUGAUGAGGAGAGCAACAAACACAAGCGAACUAUUGAUUUGGAUGACGAUGAUGAGGAGGCAUCAGGUGAUGACGGCAAGAGAAGCCCUACACCAAACUCGGUUGCGUACUCCAAGCGAGACCAACACUACUAG
rnacentral:rRNA from 1 species